rnacentral:snRNA from 1 species
AUCGCUUCUCGGCUCUUUUGAGCUAAGAUCAAGUGUAGUAUCUGUUCUUCUCAGUUUACCCUCAACUUUUCUUAUUUUAAAAAAUCAUAUAUAUUGAUCUUGACGACGGUGGCUACAUUCA